CCCCCCUGGCAAUGGGCAAAGAGACACCUGAUUGGUGGCAUUGCUCUUAUAUCAGUCAGGGGCAAAGAAGAUGUCCAGCCCUUUGUUCAUCCUAGCUUGAUGCCUGGACUGGUGGCCAGAGCUGUUUCAUGCCUGAGGAACAUAA